rnacentral:rRNA from 1 species
GACGAACGCUGGCGGCGUGCUUAACACAUGCAAGUCGAACGAAAAUACCAAGCUUGCUUGGUUGAUUAGUGGCGAACGGGUGAGUAACACGUGAGUAACCUGCCCCUUACUUUCCUGGAUAACUGCUCGAAAGGGUAGCUAAUACGGGAUAUUCUGACCAGCCUGCAUGGGUUGGUUUGGAAAGGUUGUUUUUCUGGUAAGGGAUGGGCUCGCGGCCUAUCAGCUUGUUGGUGGGGUGAUGGCCUACCAAGGCUUUGACGGGUAGCCGGCCUGAGAGGGUGGACGGUCACACCGGGACUGAGAUACGGCCCAGACUCCUACGGGAGGCAGCAGUGGGGAAUAUUGCACAAUGGGCGCAAGCCUGAUGCAGCGACGCCGCGUGAGGGAUGAAGGCCUUCGGGUUGUAAACCUCUUUCGUCAGGGAACAAGGCACUGCUUUUUUGGUGGUGUUGAGGGUACCUGGAUAAGAAGCGCCGGCUAACUACGUG